rnacentral:rRNA from 1 species
GACGAACGCUGGCGGCGUGCUUAACACAUGCAAGUCGAACGGAAAGGCCCUGCUUGCAGGGUACUCGAGCGGCGAACGGGUGAGUAACACGUGGGUGAUCUGCCCUGCACUUCGGGAUAAGCCUGGGAAACUGGGUCUAAUACCGGAUAGGAGCCAUUUUUAGUGUGAUGGUUGGAAAGUUUUUUCGGUGUAGGAUGAGCUCGCGGCAUAUCAGCUUGUUGGUGGGGUAAUGGCCUACCAAGGCGGCGACGGGUAGCCGGCCUGAGAGGGUGGACGGCCACAUUGGGACUGAGAUACGGCCCAGACUCCUACGGGAGGCAGCAGUGGGGAAUAUUGCACAAUGGGCGCAAGCCUGAUGCAGCGACGCCGCGUGGGGGAUGACGGCCUUCGGGUUGGAAACUCCUUUCGCUAGGGACGAAGCUUUUUGUGACGGUACCUAGAUAAGAAGCACCGGCUAACUACGUG